AAUGUUACAUUAGUUUCAGGUGUACAACAUAUUGAUUCAACAAUUCUGUACAUUAUGCUAUGCUCACCACAAGUCUAGCUACCAUGCGUCACCAUGCAAUACUGUUACAGUACCACUGACGAUGUUCCCUGUGUUAUACCUUUUAUUCCUUUGACUUCUUCAUUCCAUAACUGGAAGCCUGUGUGUCUCAUUUCCCUUCACCCAUUUUGCACAACCUCCCACCGUCCUCCCCUUUGACAACCACCAGAUUAUUCUCUGUAUUUAAUAGGUCUGAUUCUGCUUUUUGUCUGUUUAUUCAUUUGUUUUUGUUUUUUUAGAUUCUGCAUGUGAGUGAAAUCAUGAUUUUGUGUUUCUCAGUCUGACUUGUUUCAUUGAGCACAAUACCUUCUGGGUCCGUCCAUGUUAUUGCAAAUGGCAAGGUCUCGUUCUUUUUAUGGCAGAGUAAUAUUCCCCUAUGUAUGUAGACCACAUCUUCUUUAUCCAUUAGUCCAGCAGUGGACACUUGGGUUCCUUCUGUAUCUUGGCUAUUGUAAAGAAUGCUGUGAUAAACGUAGAAGUGCACAUCUUUUCAAAUUAGUAGUGUUUUCAUUUUCUUUGGGUAAAUACCCAGUGGUGGAAUUGUUGGAUCAUAUGGUAAUUCUAUUUAUAAUUUUUGGAGGAACCUCCAUACUAUCUACCACAGUAGCUGUCUCUUUUCCAGUCAUUUCUAUAUGGCAAAGCACAGUACAAUGAGCUUUAUAAAGAUCUUAAAGAGGAGACAUUCACAGAUAGCACCCAGUUUGGAUGUGGAUGUGUCUCCAUGGCCCGUUGUCUGGGAACAGUGGUGUUACUGGCUGACUGACUUGACCAGUUAGUACUGGUUGCUGCACAGGUCAAGCUCAGCACUCCUCGUAGCGGCAUCUGCUGGGAGAUAACGUGGUGUACAGAUGAGGAGACGCUGAGCUUCCACAUUUAAGUAGCUUGCUUGCGCUUUGAUUCACGUCUAGAACCUGGGUCUUCUGGUUUCUGACUGAACACAGCAGCCUUCCGCUGAGUAAGUUGUAUGCAUUCCCAAAGGCUUUCACAGCAUGGGCAUCUUACUGACCUCCAUCUUAUGAGGAAGGUAUGCAGGAAAUUCUGGGCAGAGAAAUCUUGCCAAGCGCCCCGAAACAGUAUCUUUUAAAGAAUCAUGUCCCCUUUCCCAGAACUGGUUUCCUCAGAUUGGUUAUUUUCUGAAUAAAUGCACAGAAAUGUAAGAACGUAAGAAAAAGAAAUAUGAAAAUAAUCCUUGAAAUGAUUGGUAUUUGACACUCCUUCGUGGCUCAGUCAGUAAAGGCCCAACUCUUGAUCUCAGCUCAGGUCUUGAUCUCAGGGUCAUGAAUUUAAGUCCCACAUUGGGCUCCAUGCUGUGAGGGAAACCUGCUAAAAUUUUUUUUAAUUAAAAAAUGAAAAUAAAUGACUGGUAUUAAAGAUAUUUUUGUUUUACCUCAUAUUCCUCAUUUUUACCAGCGUCCAACAUGUAGUACCAUGUAGACGUUUGUUUCCCUUUUCUUUUUCUCCGUAUUCCUUGCUCUUGCCAUUUUUUUGUGUAGUGGUUAAAGAUAUUGUUUCUGGAGCCAGAUUUGUCUGGUUUGAAUCUUGUCUCCACCACUUAAAACUGCGUGAUCUUAGGCAAGUUGCCUAAUCUCUCUGGGCCUCCCUUUCCUCAGCUCCACAAUGUGGACACGAAUAGUACUUAACAUCAUAGGAUUCUUAUAUGGAUUAAAGUAGUCAUUUCAUGGGGAGCCUGGGUGGCUCAGUCAGUUGAGCGUCUGGCUUCGGCUCAGGUCAUGAUCUCAUGGUCCAUGAGUUCAAGCCCCAUGUGGGACUCUGUGCUGACAGCUCAGAGGCUGGAGCCUGCUUCAGAUUCUGUGACUCCCUCUCUCUCUGCUCCCCCUCGCCCCACUCAUGCUCUGCCUCUCUCUCUCUCAAAAAUAAAUAAACAUUAAAAAAAUUUUUAAGUAGUCAUUUCAUGUUAAGAGUUUAGAACAGUACCUGCACAAGGUAAGAACUCCGUAUAUGCGCACUAGUCUUUCUCCUCCUCCUCCUUCCUUCCCAUGUUAGCACUGCCCCUGCCACUGGUGUUCUGUUAAUGUCCUCUGUUAUUCAUACUUUUAUAAUUAAUCGACAUUAUUAUGUCUUCAAGUAAUUUACAUAGUAUUUUAUAUUUUCAAAAUAGUUUUAUGUGUAUUUUUGCAUCUGUUCCUCUUACCAACCAAUAUAAGUUAGGCUGAGUCAGUUUUAAGAAACUCAAGGAAGUAACUUAUCCAGGAAUAGAAUUCAUUAGAACCCAAAGCUAGAUCCUGGUUUUCUGACCCUAAAGUCCCUGCAUUUUUAUUAACUUUAUAUUUUCUUUAUUUUUAUCAAGCAGUAUUUUAUAUGUAAAAAAUAAUAUUCAUUACAUAAUACAUGAAAACAAAAUGAGGACCUGUAAACCUAAUGCCCAACUAAGGAUUAAAUUACUGUCAUUUCUGUUACGAGUACCUUUGUGUUCUUGUCUGUUCUGUCUCCUGCUUUUACCCCACCUCUGAGAAAAUUAUCAUCCUUCCUGAGUUGUUUUUGUUAAUGUUUACUUACUUAUUUUGAGAGAAAGAGAGUGUGUGUACGUGGGAGGAGCAGGGGUGGGUAGAGGGGGAGAAAGAGAAUCCCAAGCAGGCUUCGUGCUGCCAGUGCAGAGCCAGAUGUGGGGCUCAUUCCCACAAAGCAUGAGAUGAUGAGCUGAGCUGAAAUCAAGAGUCAGAUGGUCAACCGACUGAACCACCCAGGCGCCCCCAUCCUAAGUUUUAUACUUAUCUUUCCCUUCUCAUCUUUUAUCAACUUCAUUGAGGUACAAUUUCCAUGCAGUAAAAAUAUACCCAUUUUAAGUGUGCAAUUUGAGGAGUCUCUACAACUGUAUACACUCAUGUAACUACUACCCCAAUGAAGAUGUAGCACAUAUUCAUCACUCCAGAAUCUUCCUUCCAAUCCUCUUUACUAUUAGUCCCUCCCACCUCUAGUCCCAGACAACCCAGUGCUUCCUGUUACUAUUGGUGGGUUUUCCCUGCUUUAGAAUUUGAUAUAAAUAGAAUUUAUCAGCAUACUGUUUUUCAGAGUCACCGUAUUGUUAUAUGUAUGACUGGUCCAUUCCUUUUCAUUGCUGAGUGGUAUUCUGCUCUUUGUGCCACAAUUCGUUUAUCCGUUUGACUGUUGACAGUCAUUUGGGUUGUUUCCAGGUUGGGGGUAUCAUGAUUAAAACUUCUAGAAAGUCUUUAAGUCUUUUUGUGGAUAUAUGUUUUCAUUUCUCUUGGUUAAAGAAUUGAGGGUGGAAUUGCUGGUCAUAGGGAAGGUACAUGUUUAGUCCUAAAAGAACGUGCCAAGCUGUCUGCCGUUUAUACCAUUUUAUAGCCCCCCCAGCGGUAUAUGAGAAUUCCAGUAGCACCACAUCCUUGCUGACAUUUAAUGUUGUCAGUCUUUUUUAUGUCAGUCAUUUUAGUGGAUAUGAAUAUCAUUGUGGUUUUAACUUGCUUUUCCCGGAUGACUGGGUAUGUACAUUUUUAGUUUUGAAUUCGCUUCGGUAGAAGCUGUACAUUAUCAACAUUUCGUGCUUAGUUUAUUUUUUUUAGUGGCCUGUGAAAACUUCUUCAGUCCCGAUACCACUCAAAUGUUUGUACUUAAAGUUAAUUAAUGAGGUAUUCAGAAAGUAUAAGAUGUGCUAAUUCA